GUCAUCAUGUUGUCCUUCCGGUUCAGACCUCGGUGUUUGCUGGCGCAGCACGCCAGCUUCAUACGGAUGCGCGCUCGAAUGAUGCGCUUUAAACUAAGCACUGAUCAAGCCUUCUUGUGGUGUCCCAUACAAGCUGCCUGAUUCUUCUCCUUGCCAGAGGCACUACAUAGAGCUCAGUGGUCACUACCCUGAUUUACACUGCCAUCCUGGAGUUGAGCUGUGACUGUUAUUUUAAUGUGUG